rnacentral:tRNA from 1 species
GAGGGUAUAGCUCAGUGGGAGAGUGAGUGCUUAGCAUGCAUGAAGUCCUGGGUUCAAUCUCCAUAUACCUCCA